rnacentral:rRNA from 1 species
GACGAACGCUGGCGGCGUGCUUAACACAUGCAAGUCGAACGGAAAGGCCCUGCUUUUGUGGGGUGCUCGAGUGGCGAACGGGUGAGUAACACGUGAGUAACCUGCCCUUGACUUUGGGAUAACUUCAGGAAACUGGGGCUAAUACCGGAUAGGAGCUCCUGCUGCAUGGUGGGGGUUGGAAAGUUUCGGCGGUUGGGGAUGGACUCGCGGCUUAUCAGCUUGUUGGUGGGGUAGUGGCUUACCAAGGCUUUGACGGGUAGCCGGCCUGAGAGGGUGACCGGCCACAUUGGGACUGAGAUACGGCCCAGACUCCUACGGGAGGCAGCAGUGGGGAAUAUUGCACAAUGGGCGGAAGCCUGAUGCAGCAACGCCGCGGUCGGGAUGACGGCCUUCGGGUUGUAAACCGCUUUCGCCUGUGACGAAGCGGGAGUGACGGUAAUGGGUAAAGAAGCACCGGCUAACUACGUG